rnacentral:tRNA from 1 species
GCCUCCGUCGUCUAGCCAGGUCAAGGAUGGCGCCCUCUCGAGGCGCAGACCCGGGUUCAAAUCCCGGCGGAGGCA